CACUCCUGCGGGAGGCAGCAGUGGGGAAUUUUGGACAAUGGGCGAAAGCCUGAUCCAGCAAUGCCGCGUGAGUGAAGAAGGCCUUCGGGUUGUAAAGCUCUUUUGUCAGGGAAGAAACGGUGAGAGCUAAUAUCUUUUGCUAAUGACGGUACCUGAAGAAUAAGCACCGGCUAACUACGUGCCAGCAGCCGCGGUAAUACGUAGGGUGCAAGCGUUAAUCGGAAUUACUGGGCGUAAAGCGUGCGCAGGCGGUUUUGUCAGUCUGAUGUGAAAUCCCCGGGCUCAACCUGGGAAUUGCAUUGGAGACUGCAAGGCUAGAAUCUGGCAGAGGGGGGUAGAAUUCCACGUGUAGCAGUGAAAUGCGUAGAUAUGUGGAGGAACACCGAUGGCGAAGGCAGCCCCCUGGGUCAAGAUUGACGCUCAUGCACGAAAGCGUGGGGAGCAAACAGGAUUAGAAACCCGAGUAGUCCCAUGA
rnacentral:rRNA from 1 species